GUCGAUUUGUCGCGCCGGCCAUGACAAGUGGCGCCCAAACAGGGACUUGAGCACCUUCAGGAGGUGCACGCUUAUAGGAUGAGGACACCGCACGCUGGAUACCAGAGAGAUGGUGCCGACUCCUCGCCCCUGCGGCAACGAAUUGCAACACUGACCCUGAGUCAGAGAAAUCAGCGGAGGAGAAGAAGACGUCUCCCCCUUACAGCCAGAGGGAUGUUUCAUG